rnacentral:lncRNA from 1 species
AGCUGCAUCACAUACACCUAAAAUAACAUUGCGGGACUGUGGUUGGUUUGGACCAGUUCUUGAGAUAGUGGACAGGACUGCAGUUGGUUUGGACCAGUUCUUGAGGUAGUGGGUAGGACUGCGAUUGGUUUGGACCAGUUCUUGAGGUAGUGGGUGGGACUGCGGUUGGUUUGGACCAGUUCUUGAGGUAGUGGGCAGGACUGCGGUUGGACCAGUUCUUGAGGUAGUGGGUGGGACUGCGAUUGGUUUGGACCCGUUCUUGAGGUAGUGGGUGGGACUGCGGUUGGACCAGUUCUUGAGGUUGUGGGUGGGACUGCGGUUGGACCAGUUCUUGAGGUAGUGGGUGGGACUGCGGUUGGGUUGGACCAGUUCUUGAGGUUGUGGGUAGGACUGCGGUUGGACCAGUUCUUGAGGUAGUGGGUAGGCCUGUGGUUGGACCAGGUCUUGAGGUAGUGGGUGGGACUGCGGUUGGGUUGGACUAGUUCUUAAGGUAGUGGGUGGGACUGCGGUUGGACCAGUUCUUGAGGUAGUGGGUGGGACUGCGGUUGGACCAGUUCUUGAGGUAGUGGGUGGGACUGCGGUUGGACCAGUUCUUGAGGUAGUGGGUAGGACUGCAGUUGGUUUGGACCAGUUCUUGUGGUAGUGGGUG